rnacentral:rRNA from 1 species
UACGAAGGGGGCUAGCGUUGUUCGGAAUUACUGGGCGUAAAGCGCACGUAGGCGGAUAUUUAAGUCAGGGGUGAAAUCCCAGAGCUCAACUCUGGAACUGCCUUUGAUACUGGGUAUCUUGAGUAUGGAAGAGGUAAGUGGAAUUGCGAGUGUAGAGGUGAAAUUCGUAGAUAUUCGCAGGAACACCAGUGGCGAAGGCGGCUUACUGGUCCAUAACUGACGCUGAGGUACGAAAGCGUGGGGAGCAAACAGGGA